GCUCUAGUGGCGCAAUGGUUAGCGCGUUUGGCUGUUAACGGGUUGUUACCAGUCUGUUGUUACCAAAAGGUUGGUGGUUCGAGUCCACCCUGGAGCG